rnacentral:misc_RNA from 1 species
CAGCAGGACAAAUUUUGGUAUCAGGUCCCAAAAGCUCCUUAACAAUGUGAUGAACAAUCUUCCCAGGAACCAUCUUCUGCUUCAAAAGUUCUCCAAUCAAACGGAUGUUUCCAAGGGUACGAAGCUUGACCAAUCUUUCCUUGUCCCUGCGUUCAAGCUCUUGCUCUGGAGCUGUCAUCUGCCAAACUUCCUGCCACUGUUUAUCAGCACCCUCAAAUGCCUCCUGGCAGAUAUUCAGGAGAACUCGCUUGAAUGUGAUU